GGCGCUAUGGUGUAGUGGUAGCACAUGGGAUUCUGAUGUGAUGGGGAAUUUCCACAACCCAGGUUCGAACCCUGGUAGUGCGC